GGUGAGAUGGCUCAGUGGUUAAGAGCACUGACUGUUCUUCCAGAGGUCCUGAGUUCAAAUCCCAGCAACCA
rnacentral:tRNA from 1 species